rnacentral:rRNA from 1 species
GGACCCGCACAAGCAGCGGAGCAUGUGGUUUAAUUCGACGCAACGCGAAAAACCUUACCAAGACUUGACAUCGUGCGACGAGUGUAGAAAUACACUUUUCUUCGGACGCAUAGACAGGUGGUGCAUGGUUGUCGUCAGCUCGUGUCGUGAGAUGUUGGGUUAAGUCCCGCAACGAGCGCAACCCUUAUGAAUAGUUGCCAAUAUUAAGUUAGGAACUCUAUUCAGACUGCCGUGGAUAACACGGAGGAAGGUGGGGAUGACGUCAAAUCAUCAUGCCCCUUACGUCUUGGGCUACACACGUGCUACAAUGGCUACUACAAAGAGUUGCAAGUUGGUAACAGCGAGCGAAUCUCAAAAAAGUAGUCUCAGUUCAGAUUGUGGGCUGCAACCCGCCCACAUGAAGUCGGAGUUGCUAGUAAUCCCGAAUCAGCAUGUCGGGGUGAAUGCGUUCCCGGGUCUU